rnacentral:rRNA from 1 species
UCUUGUAGGGAGACUCGCCUUAAAACAAUUGGCAGCCGGCCUACUGGUAUUCGGAGCGCAGCACAAAUUUGCGCUUGCCAAAUCCAUGGGGCGGCAUCCAUCAAGCCUUUGUUGUUGUACGACAAAUCCACAUUUUGACCUCGGAUCAGGUAGGGAUACCCGCUGAACUUAAGCAUAUCAAUAAGCGGAGGAAAAGAAACCAACAGGGAUUGCCCUAGUAACGGCGAGUGAAGCGGCAACAGCUCAAAUUUGAAAUCUGGCUCUUUCAGAGUCCGAGUUGUAAUUUGCAGAGGGCGCUUUGGCUUUGGCAGCGGUCCAAGUUCCUUGGAACAGGACGUCACAGAGGGUGAGAAUCCCGUACGUGGUCGCUAGCUAUUGCCGUGUAAAGCCCCUUCGACGAGUCGAGUUGUUUGGGAAUGCAGCUCUAAAUGGGAGGUAAAUUUCUUCUAAAGCUAAAUAUUGGCCAGAGACCGAUAGCGCACAAGUAGAGUGAUCGAAAGAUGAAAAGCACUUUGGAAAGAGAGUCAAACAGCACGUGAAAUUGUUGAAAGGGAAGCGCUUGCAGCCAGACUUGCUUGCAGUUGCUCAUCCAGGCUUUUGCCCGGUGCACUCUUCUGCAGGCAGGCCAGCAUCAGUUUGGGCGGUGGGAUAAAGGUCUCUGUCAUGUACCUCUCUUCGGGGAGGCCUUAUAGGGGAGGCGACAUACCACCAGCCUAGACUGAGGUCCGCGCAUCUGCUAGGAUGCUGGCGUAAUGGCUGUAAGCGGCCCGUCUUGAAACACGGACCAAGGAGUCUAACAUCUAUGCGAGUGUUUGGGUGUCAAGCCCGAGCGCGUAAUGAAAGUGAACGGAGGUGGGAACCCGCAAGGGUGCACCAUCGACCGAUCCUGAAGUUUACGGAAGGAUUUGAGUAAGAGCAUGGCUGUUGGGACCCGAAAGAUGGUGAACUAUGCUUGAAUAGGGUGAAGCCAGAGGAAACUCUGGUGGAGGCUCGCAGCGGUUCUGACGUGCAAAUCGAUCGUCAAAUUUGGGCAUAGGGGCGAAAGACUAAUCGAACUAUCUAGUAGCUGGUUCCUGCCGAAGUUUCCCUCAGGAUAGCAGUAACGUAUUCAGUUUUAUGAGGUAAAGCGAAUGAUUAGAGGCAUGGGGGUUGAAACAACCUUCACCUAUUCUCAAACUUUAAAUAUGUAAGAAGCCCUUUGUUACUUAAUUGAACGCGGGCAUUUGAAUGAAACGUUAUUAGUGGGCCAUUUUUGGUAA